rnacentral:rRNA from 1 species
UACAGAGGUCUCAAGCGUUGUUCGGAUUCAUUGGGCGUAAAGGGUGUGUAGGUGGCGCGCUAAGUCGGGUGUGAAAUUUCGGAGCUUAACUCCGAAACUGCAUUCGAUACUGGCGUGCUUGAGGACUGGAGAGGAGACUGGAAUUCAUGGUGUAGCAGUGAAAUGCGUAGAGAUCAUGAGGAAGACCAGUGGCGAAGGCGGGUCUCUGGACAGUUCCUGACACUGAGACACGAAGGCCAGGGGGAGCAAACGGGG